rnacentral:rRNA from 1 species
UACGUAGGUGGCAAGCGUUGUCCGGAAUUAUUGGGCGUAAAGCGCGCGCAGGCGGUCCUUUAAGUUUGAUGUGAAAGCCCACGGCUCAACCGUGGAGGGUCAUUGGAAACUGGGGGACUUGAGUGCAGAAGAGGAGAGUGGAAUUCCACGUGUAGCGGUGAAAUGCGUAGAGAUGUGGAGGAACACCAGUGGCGAAGGCGACUCUCUGGUCUGUAACUGACGCUGAGGCGCGAAAGCGUGGGGAGCAAACAGG